rnacentral:rRNA from 1 species
UAAGCGGAGGAAAAGAAACUAACAAAGAUUGCCUUAGUAAGGGCGACUGAACAGGCAAAAGCCCAAAGUUAAAAUCUCAGUCUUAGACUGCGAAUUGUAAUCUUUAGCUGUCAGCAUAGGGAGAUCUGAUCGCAUAAGUUCCUUUGGAACAGGACGACAAAGAGGGUGAAAUCCCCGUAGUUGGCGAAAGUCAUAUCAAUUUGCGGCAUGCGCAGAGUCGAGCUGCUUGGGAUUGAAGCUCUAAUAGGGAGAUAAACUUCUUCCAAGGCUAAAUAUGGACGAGAAACCGAUAGCAAACAAGUACUGUGAAGGAAAGAUGAAAAGAACUUUGAAAAGAGGGUUAAAAGACUUGAAACCGUUGAGGAGGAAGCGAUAGAAGCUGGCUAAUCGGGAGAAAAGAGGUUUUAUUUGGUAUACUUGGAGGACGUUAAAGCCGAAAAGUUAACCUGUUAGAAUGCUCACUCGCUCGAAAGGCAACAUGAGGUGGAGAGAGUUGAAUAGCUUCGGCGAAAACACUCAUUGCCUGAGGAAGAUGUUGCCAAAACGGCUUUUACCGACCCGUCUUGAAACACGGACCAAGGAGUCUAAC